GCAGCAUCGCCGCCUUUGGCUAAGAUCAUGUGGGUAUCUGUUCUUAUCAGUUUAAUAUCUGAUAACGCCCCCACCCGGGACUACAUACAUAAAUUGAUUUUUGGAUCACGGAGCUGGAGCCGGGGCUUGCUCGUCCACUCCAAUGAUCGGCCUGGUAUUGCAGUGCGUUCCAGAAAGCGGGUGUGCUUCC